CUACACCUUUUCCAUGGUAUUCACAACUUGCAGACCAGGAGAUUCCCUCGGGUGCCUACACCACCAGGGCCCUGGGUUUCAAGCACAAAAUCGGGCAGCCUUUUGGGCAGACACCAAACUAGCUGUAGGAGUGCUUUUUAAUGCCCCAGAAACACAACUAAAAAAGAAAAUUUCAGGCCAAUAUCCCUGAUGCAC